rnacentral:rRNA from 1 species
AGCGAACGCUAGCGGCGGGCCUAACACAUGCAAGUCGAGCGGAGAACUUCGGUUCUUAGCGGCGGACGAGUGAGUAACGCGUAGGUAAUGUGCCUUCUGGUGGGGAACAACCGUGCGAAAGCAUGGCUAAUACCGCAUAUGUCGAGAGAUGAAAGCCUUCGGGCGCCAGUAGAGCAGCCUGCGUCCCAUUAUUUAGUCCUAGUUGGUGAGGUAACGGCUCACCAAGGUACGAUGGGUAGCUGGUCUGAGAGGAUGAUCAGCCACACUGGAACUGAGACACGGUCCAGACUCCUACGGAGGCAGCAG